GAACGGCAGCGCGGGAGCAAUCCUGGCGGCGAGUGGCGAACGGGUGAGUAAUACAUCGGAACGUGCCCAAUCGUGGGGGAUAACGCAGCGAAAGCUGUGCUAAUACCGCAUACGAUCUACGGAUGAAAGCAGGGGAUCGCAAGACCUUGCGCGAAUGGAGCGGCCGAUGGCAGAUUAGGUAGUUGGUGAGGUAAAGGCUCACCAAGCCUUCGAUCUGUAGCUGGUCUGAGAGGACGACCAGCCACACUGGGACUGAGACACGGCCCAGACUCCUACGGGAGGCAGCAGUGGGGAAUUUUGGACAAUGGGCGAAAGCCUGAUCCAGCCAUGCCGCGUGCAGGAUGAAGGCCUUCGGGUUGUAAACUGCUUUUGUACGGAACGAAACGGUCUUUUCUAAUACAGAAGGCUAAUGACGGUACCGUAAGAAUAAGCACCGGCUAACUACGUGCCAGCAGCCGCGGUAAUACGUAGGGUGCAAGCGUUAAUCGGAAUUACUGGGCGUAAAGCGUGCGCAGGCGGUUAUGUAAGACAGUUGUGAAAUCCCCGGGCUCAACCUGGGAACUGCAUCUGUGACUGCAUAGCUAGAGUACGGUAGAGGGGGAUGGAAUUCCGCGUGUAGCAGUGAAAUGCGU
rnacentral:rRNA from 1 species